rnacentral:rRNA from 1 species
AGUAAUACAUAAGUAACCUGCCCUAGACAGAGGGAUAACUAUUGGAAACGAUAGCUAAGACCGCAUAGGUACGGACACUGCAUGGUGACCGUAUUAAAAGUGCCUCAAAGCACUGGUAGAGGAUGGACUUAUGGCGCAUUAGCUGGUUGGCGGGGUAACGGCCCACCAAGGCGACGAUGCGUAGCCGACCUGAGAGGGUGACCGGCCACACUGGGACUGAGACACGGCCCAGACUCCUACGGGAGGCAGCAUG